rnacentral:rRNA from 1 species
GAUGAACGCUGGCGGCGUGCCUAAUACAUGCAAGUCGAGCGAACAGACGAGGAGCUUGCUCCUCUGACGUUAGCGGCGGACGGGUGAGUAACACGUGGAUAACCUACCUAUAAGACUGGGAUAACUUCGGGAAACCGGAGCUAAUACCGGAUAAUAUAUUGAACCUCAUGGUUCAAUAGUGAAAGACGGUUUUGCUGUCACUUAUAGAUGGAUCCGCGCCGCAUUAGCUAGUUGGUAAGGUAACGGCUUACCAAGGCAACGAUGCGUAGCCGACCUGAGAGGGUGAUCGGCCACACUGGAACUGAGACACGGUCCAGACUCCUACGGGAGGCAGCAGUAGGGAAUCUUCCGCAAUGGGCGAAAGCUUGACGGAGCAACGCCGCGUGAGUGAUGAAGGUCUUCGGAUCGUAAAACUCUGUUAUUAGGGAAGAACAAAUGUGUAAGUAACUAUGCACGUCUUGACGGUACCUAAUCAGAAAGCCACGGCUAACUACGUG